GUGCAACUAAUUUUUUCUCUUUAAAACCAAAUUGAAUAGAUAUAAUCAAGAUUUUAAAAUAUAAAAUCGAACCGAACUAAAUUAUUUUAAAAAUCAAAUCAAAAUACUAAAUUAACACGAUUUGAUUCAAUUUAUUCUAUUCAAAUUAAACAGUGCUCACCCCUACCUACCUUCCCUUUCACUAUUGCUCCAAGAGAGAGAAGUGAAAGAUGACUGGAAUUUUUUAAUAUCUUCAGACGUUGGGUGAUAUGAAUAGCCCCCACCAUGAGAAUAAUUCAACCACAUAUCUUUAGACUUGGUAUGUUGGAGCAGAUAUGCAUUCAUAUCAUCAAUUUCAGGCUCGUUCUUGCCCUCCAAGAUCUUCACUGCUUGCCUCAUUUUUGGCCGGGAACUAGGCUCAGGAUAUGUGCACAACAAGCCUAAAUGAAGUAUUCUCUCCACUUCUUCCUCAUCAAACCCUCCUCUAGCCUUUAUCCUUGGAUCAAGAGCAUCGAGUAACUGUCCUUGCGUCAUUGACUGCCAUACCAAUUCUAUCAAUGGUGGCUUCCCUUCCUCUAUUGGCCUCCUUCCACACAUCACCUCCAAAAUCAAUACCCCAAAACCGAACACAUCUGUUUGAGCUGACGCUCGACCACUGCGAACCACCUCAGGGGCCAAGUACCCAACCGUUCCAACCACCCGUGUGGUGAUAGCCAUCUGACCAUGGCUGUGCAUCCUGGCUAGGCCAAAAUCACCUAACCUUCCAUUCAUUUCCUGGUCCAGUAACACAUUGCUGGCCUUAAUGUCUCUAUGUAGGACUUUAGACUCCCAUCCCUCGUGCAAAUACAGUACUCCUGAAGCAACAUCUUUCAAUAUCCUUAUUCUUUCUUCACAGCUUAACAUUUUAUUCUCAUCACAAUUGAACACUCUCUUAUCCAAACUCCCAUUUUCCAUAUAAUCAUAGACCAGACUGAAGCUUCCUUUUUCUCUCUUGCACCAAGCUCUCAACCCAACCAAGCUCCUGUGCUUCAAUCUUCCAAGACUCGAAAUUUCAGCCAAAAACUCUCUCAUCCCAUUAUUUUCAUGUGAAAUUCGCUUCACUGCAACCUCUUCCCCUCCUGGCAAUACACCCUUAUAGACCUUUCCAUUUCCUCCAAAUCCAAUGACAUUUUGUUCACUGAAUCCUUUUGUUGCUGUCUCAAUUUCUUGAUAAGUAAUUCUAUGUGGCCAAUAUUCCAAUUCCCAUUCCUCCAUGUUCGCUCUCGCCCUUGCCAUCCUCUGCUUCCUCCUAGCAUAAAACAAAGUAAUCAAAGCAACAGCGACAAUAACCGCGAAACCUCCAAGCACGGCACCGGCAAUGAACGCCUUAGACCGAAAAAAGGAACCUUUUAGAGGAACAAAGGAUGGCAACCCAGUUGUAAUCAAACUUUCACUUAAAGAAAAAUUGGAAUCACUAUAGCUCCAAGCCAGAAUCUUGUGACUCUCAUCAAGUUUUCCUGUUGCAGAAGUGAACCCAACAUACAUUUCUUCCUCAAAAACAUCAGAAAGAUUAAUAGAAACAUUUAACAAAGGCCGAGUAGGCCUUUUCAUGCCAACAGGAGCCAUAGUAAUAUUAAUUAAAGAAUCUGCAUAAUCUAUCCAAACUUGGUAAUUUUCACCAUUAUUUAGCUUCAAUUUCUUGAAUGAACUCCUGUCGGCGCUGCUACUCUUUUUAUUGUCAGGCCAAUAUCCUGCCUCUUCAGCAAAUUUUGAUGUGAGGGAAUUCAGAUCUAUACCAACAUGGUUACUCUUCGUGUCAUUGAAUUCUUGGUUGGCGAACACAUCGAACUCGAUCCCAAACACAUGAUUGCUAGGAUUACCAUUAUUCGUGCGAUUAAAUAGGCCUAAGUAUUGGGCUGGGCUUGUACCAUUUAUCCCAAUAUGUGUUACAAAAAUGAAUAUCAGGCCAUGUCCUGGCAGGACGUUCUUGUAAGGAACCAUAGCAAAAAUGAAAGAAGUAGAAAAUGGAUAGACAUAAGAGGAGUUAGUAGCUUUGGUGGUUACUUUUGAUGGGUAUAGAGCACGACCUUCUCUGAAAGCUGUUCUGUUGGUAAGUGUGAGAAUACGAGAUUCAAUGGUGGCUGAGUCAUAGAGAAUCAAAUUGGAGGAAUUGAAGCCAUUGAAGACAAAAUCAAUAGCUGACAUGGGUCGACAAGAUAGGAUUAUAGGAAGCAGAAGUAAGAGAAGAGAAGGGUUUGGGUGUUUCUUCAUUGCAGACAUGGAAACAGAAAAGCCUCUGUUUCAUGGGAAACCUUAAAGAGGACGGCAGAGAAAGAUUAUGUUAGAUUUGAGCUAUUGGAGUGAAUUUGAGCAGGGAUUCUCACCGUAUUUAUGACACGUUCAGUGGGUUUCACUUUUUUUGGAUCCUAACAUGCUGAC
rnacentral:misc_RNA from 1 species